rnacentral:lncRNA from 1 species
UGUUAUCUUGCAAUAAAGUCAAACAUUACAGAACCUUUGAAAUUUUUCCAUGAUUAUCUACUAUGAUAAAUUAGUGAAAAUAAGGAAAUUCCCACACAGUUGGAAACUUUCCAAUUGAUAUUUACUAUCACUCUUAACUUUUUUAUGUAUUUAUAUAUCUUUGGCUUUCAAAUGUUUUGUUUGAGUGUUCCUGAAGAGUUAAUGCAGGAAAAUGAAUCAACUUUAUGAAGUGUUAUUUUCAUUAUAAAAACUGUAUGAAAUGUUAUUUGGUUGCUGUUUCAAUUGCAUUGCCUCAAUGUUUCCUUCUUCUUGAUGAGAUUUAAAAAGAAAAAGAUCAAUAACAUUAAGCUACUGGCAUUUCUAUCUAUUAUUUAUAUUUUUUUCCUUCUCGUUGAUUGAACUAAAUUCAAUAAUUUACUCCUCCACUUUUUUUCCAUGAAAUCUACCCAAAUGGGCCUCUUGUUUAAGUCAAAAAUUGAAAAUUGAUAUCCCAUCAAUAACGAGGAAAGCCAUAGUAUAUUAACUAAUGAUGACUUUUUUACCUCUAUAAUUAAUCAAAUUCUAGUAUUAAAUACAUCUUUAAAUCAAAUAUUUACUUUUAUAAAUCACAAUAAAUGGCAAUAUGAUAUACAUCAUGUACAUGUGUAUGGCUAAAGGAGGGAUACUUAGGUUAAGGGGAAAUAACUCUAACAAAUUACUUGGAAGUUUAUGUCUACCAUUUUCAUAAUAACUUCUUACUAACAAAUUUGAAUUCUGCUUCACAUGAAUGCUUCAAAAGUCUGGAUGAAACUGACUAUUGCAAAUGUCUUACUGAUUUAAAGAGUUAUUCCCCUUAACUUUGGUCUAGUUAGUUGAAAGAAAAAUACCAAUUCAAGAGAUCAAAUCAUACAACCAAUACAGACUAGAUUGAGGUAAUAAAUAUUCACCGGUGAAAAAUAAUAUAUACAAAUCACUAUAUUUCCUUGUAUUUGAACAACAUGGAAAAAUUAAUAUUUGUAUAAAGUUCUUCCCUUCAGGUAGAAAGGUUG